rnacentral:tRNA from 1 species
GGUAUAGCUCAAAUGGUAGAGCGCACGCUUAGCAUGCAUGAGGUCCUGGGUUCAAUCCCCAGUACC